rnacentral:lncRNA from 1 species
GCAAUGUUCCAAGAUCAUUAAUGAUUUUAAAGGCUUUCUAAUAAAUAGUAACUGACAGUAAAUGUUACUAAUAGUAUAUGAGUUGCCUACCUUCAUUUGUUAUUAUAGUAUUUUAUUAAUUUGUUUAGUCUUCAUUCAGUAUAUUUAAAAACUUGUUAAAUCGCUGUUGUCCCCUUAUUUUGUAAUUCUAUCACCUAUUAGCUUUGUAUUAUUUUUCUUAAUUACUUUUUAUAUUGUUUGAAAUUAAACUAGGUUAGUAACACAGGAUUAAGUUGGUAAAAUUUUACACACCCAUAUUUAAUGUAUGUUAUCUGAGAUGAAUAGUCCUUUUCCUAUAGGUUAGCUGUCUUCCUUUCCUAAGCACUAUCCAGACUACUGUAUAUAUAAGUAGCUUGAUACUUUU